GCGACACUUCCAUUGGACUCCGUUGUAUGCUUUUUGCUGCCUACUUCCGGGGUAUGCAGCCUCACAUAGUUCCAAACAUCCAUUCUGUGGCGUUGGACAUCAUUCAUUUCCAUUGCUGGCCGCCGAGUAACUUCUGAGGUGGUGGAUGCUGCUGAUGGGGGAUGCUGCUAAUGGUGGCUGGUGGCUUGAGCUGGCUGGUUCUGGCAAACACUGCUGCUGCAGGUCGCUGCUUCUAGAGGCAAUGGCUGCUUGAGCUGGCUGGUGGUGGCGCAGGAUGGUGGUGUCUACUUCUGCAGUUAGUGGUUGGCGGCUUGUGCUGGUGACGGCUGUUGGUGGUGGCAACUGCUGGUGGCUGGUGAUGGUGGCGGCGGCUACUGGCUGCGAUUGUUGUCCUUCCUUUCGACCUGAUGCACUUUGCUAUCCUUAACCUCAGCCUUAUGUAUUUGGAGUAUUUUGUUUGUUGAUCAAUAACUUAAAAGAUUCCUCCCUGUUCCUUCACUUUGUUCUUGUUUUUCAAGUUGGAUACACACACACACACACACACACACACAUUCUUGUUGUCUCAUUCAUUGUUUAGUAAAAAAAUACUAUAUCAUUCA